rnacentral:rRNA from 1 species
UACGUAGGGCGCAAGCGUUGUCCGGAAUUAUUGGGCGUAAAGAGCUCGUAGGCGGUCUGUUACGUCCGCUGUGAAAACCCAGGGCUUAACCCUGGGCUUGCAGUGGAUACGGGUAGACUAGAGGCAGGUAGGGGAGAAUGGAAUUCCCGGUGUAGCGGUGAAAUGCGCAGAUAUCGGGAGGAACACCGGUGGCGAAGGCGGUUCUCUGGGCCUGACCUGACGCUGAGGCGCGAAAGCGUGGGGAGCGAACAGG